UACGGGGGGGGGCAAGCGUUGUUCGGAAUUACUGGGCGUAAAGGGCUCGUAGGCGGCCAACUAAGUCAGACGUGAAAUCCCAUCGGCUUAACCGGGGAACUGCAUCUGAUACUGGAUGGCUUGAGUUCGGGAGAGGGAUGCGGAAUUCCAGGUGUAGCGGUGAAAUGCGUAGAUAUCUGGAGGAACACCGGUGGCGAAGGCGGCGAUCCUGGACCGACACUGACGCUGAGGAGCGAAAGCCAGGGGAGCGAACGGG
rnacentral:rRNA from 1 species